rnacentral:rRNA from 1 species
CGCUGGCGGCGUGCCUAAUACAUGCAAGUCGAGCGGGGUUCUUACUCUUAAUUCCUUCGGGAAAGCGGAGUUUGAACCAAGCGGCGGACGGGUGAGUAACGCGUGGGUAACCUGCCCUAGAGCCCGGGAUAACAGCGAGAAAUUGCUGCUAAGACCGGAUGCCUUCACGAAGAGGCCUCUUUUUGUGAAGAAAGGAAACGCUCUAGGAUGGGCCCGCGUCCCAUUAGCUAGUUGGUGAGGUAACGGCUCACCAAGGCGACGAUGGGUAGCCGGCCUGAGAGGGUGGACGGCCACACUGGGACUGAGACACGGCCCAGACUCCUACGGGAGGCAGCAGUAGGGAAUAUUGCGCAACGGGGGAAACCCUGACGCAGCGACGCCGCGUGAGUGAUGAAGGCCUUCGGGUCUUAAAGCUCUGUCCUCGGGGAAGAAGAAGUGACGGUACCCGAGGAGGAAGCCCCGGCUAACUACGUGCCAGCAGCCGCGGUAAUACGUAGGGGGCAAGCGUUGUCCGGAAUUAUUGGGCGUAAAGGGUGCGUAGGCGGCCUGGCAAGUCCGAUGUGAAAGGCCACGGCUUACCCGUGGAGUGGCAUUGGAAACUGUGAGGCUUGAGUGCCGGAGAGGAUAGUGGAAUACCCAGUGUAGCGGUGAAAUGCGUAGAUAUUGGGUGGAACACCAGUGGCGAAGGCGACUAUCUGGACAGUAACUGACGCUGAGGCACGAAGCUAGGGGNAGCAAACAGGAUUANAUACCCUGGUAGUCCUAU